CGGCAGGCCUAACACAUGCAAGUCGAGCGGUAGAGAGGUGCUUGCAUCUCUUGAGAGCGGCGGACGGGUGAGUAAUGCCUAGGAAUCUGCCUGGUGGUGGGGGAUAACGUUCGGAAACGGACGCUAAUACCGCAUACGUCCUACGGGAGAAAGCGGGGGAUCUUCGGACCUCGCGCCAUUAGAUGAGCCUAGGUCGGAUUAGCUAGUUGGUGAGGUAAUGGCUCACCAAGGCGACGAUCCGUAACUGGUCUGAGAGGAUGAUCAGUCACACUGGAACUGAGACACGGUCCAGACUCCUACGGGAGGCAGCAGUGGGGAAUAUUGGACAAUGGGCGAAAGCCUGAUCCAGCCAUGCCGCGUGUGUGAAGAAGGUCUUCGGAUUGUAAAGCACUUUAAGUUGGGAGGAAGGGUAGUAACCUAAUACGUUGCUACUUUGACGUUACCGACAGAAUAAGCACCGGCUAACUUCGUG
rnacentral:rRNA from 1 species